CGGCGCCAUUUGUGUCAUAUUUUCAACUGACUUUUGAAUUGCAGCAUCUGCAGCUCUAUAUGCUUGUAACGAAGGGACUUCGCCAUUGAGACUUUCAGACAUACAUUCAUAUUAAGGCACAGCUGGCAAAACGUCUGGCCUCUAGGCUCACUUUGUUUUGUGGCUGCUGAUGAUGAUGCCAUAUGCAAACGAGUUGUUACUGACGCGACUUAUCUGCCGGUAGUCGUCGUCGUCGGGAUGCCAUCGUCAUCGUAUCUGGUGAUACUACGCAUUUCACUACCUGUGUCGGGGCAAACCUGUGCCAGACACAAUCGUUACUUUAUUGUUUCGGCCAAGUCUCAAACGCUAAUUGCUUUUAGUCUGCCCAAUAUAAUUACUGACGACUGUUUUCAAGUGUAGCGGACCGACCAAUUGAUAUUUUCCGGGUUUUACCCGGUCAUGCAACCUGGAACUUGGAGAGCUCAGCUUUACGUUUGGGACCUCAUUGGAGCAUGUUACUGUUACUGAUACUGAUAAAUCGGACCCUAACUGAUAUUCGUCCAUAUCUACCUAUUUCAGCUACAACAAUUUCAAUAUUUUCUCCUAAUUGUACCACCAAAAUAAGCUGGUCAGCAUUUUCUAUGUCAUUGAUGUAUAUAAAUCAGGCUUAUCUAAGCUUUAUUGUAACAGAAAAGAAAACACAAAUGUAUCCAGCCUUAAAUAAAAAUCAUACUUCAUAUUAA